rnacentral:lncRNA from 1 species
AUUCAGCACAAGAUUUCAUUUCCAACAAAUACCACAAAGUGGCAAAGAAGCCACAUUUAAAAUCAUUUAGCAUCCAUGUUCCUGUUAACAAAUUAAUUGAAAGGUAUUUAACAUAAAAAAAAAACCAGAUCUUUAACUCGUUAGUGACUGAGUUUCCUCUGCUAGACUAUCAUAAUCACACACUAUCAUUAUCAAAAAACUAGGGACCAGAAUGAAUAAAAACACAAAAACUAUAUACCCAAUUAACACUUGAAGAACCGUCUUGCUGAUUCUUCCACCACUUUAAGAAGAUUCUCCAACUUUUACGCACAAAACAGCAGUACAUGCAUAAAUGUCAACUGCUACACUGGUAUGACAUCAAUCUUUGAAGUGUCCUCACAUCUCAAAACAAUGCCUUCAAGACUUGCAGGAAGAAUGCAUUUACUCCAUUGGUAUCCAGUAGAAAAAGGUUCGGGUGGUGGAACAAUCAUCAGAACAUUAUCAUUCCGUUGCACGACUCCCAUUACACUGACAGUGCUACCUUCUUUGAUAUACCUAAUCAGAAUUCACGAAUAGGGUAAAUGUCAACUCAAUAUCAAGAAUUUGAAAAAACCAAAGAGCAUCAUUGUCAAGAUGCAUUAGCCGUGGAUGUGCAAUAUAACAAACAAUACUUUUCUUGACCUCCUUGUCUGCGUUGGGGUUAACCUUAAUCCCGUUUCCGAGAGCAAUAAAGAAACCCACAGUUUUGUAAUGGUUCGCUAUCAAUGAGAGAGC